GAGGCCACGAUUCAAAGCGCGGAACCAAAACAUGUAAACAGAGACCUUACUCUUUCCUGGGAUUUGCUUAACGUAGUCAUUUUUUACCUCCGCGCUUUACAUUGAUCUCGCUGUUUGCAAUGGCUUACUCAGUGUGAGUCAAACGGCUGCUGGACAGAGGACCUGAAGAGGAAGAGGUCCUCCUAAAAUCGCGGAGGCAGUCCGUCCGCUACACAACUCUGAGGGAAACCGUCGGCGCUAUGACCCAGAGCACGGAUUAUGCUCGCCAUAUAAUGAGACGGUCACCUCAGUUUAGUGGGAGCACUGACCAUAAGCCCGGAAUUGCGCGAUGAAGGCCUGGAUAAAAAUGACUUUGUUGUUGCCCGCAAGACAUACUACGAGAAAUAUCCGGUACAGUCAGCUAGAGUUAGCAAAUGUGGCUGCAGCUAAUAAGACCUCAGCCCGGAGUCUCCAGAGCAGGAAGAGGCAUGCAGGAACAUAUCAAGAUAAUAAGGGUGUAAACACUGUCUACAGUGUGGUGUGCAAGCAACCAAGAACAGAGACUCCAGCAGACAGCAGUGCUGCAGAAAAUGCCAAUUUAUGAUGUUCCUUCAAACUGUGUAAGAUGCAAUCAUUUUCCUGUCUCUAAAAUAAAUACAGCAUAUGUACCAUUAGGUCCUAAUAAUGUAGGGUAUCAGAGAGAUGGAGAAUUUUGUGUAUGAUUGAACAGACAUAAUGUUCCAGAAACAGACAUAACAUACUGUUUUAUGCAAACUGCCAAAUGCAAAAGGAUUUUUGUAUGUACUAUAAAUAGAAAAUGGUGAUAAUUUGGCCAUAUAUAGUUAAAAAAAAAAACCCAUAUAACCAUAUAAAAACACAAAGUUUUUCUCCUCAAUAAAAUCAAAGCAAACUUUUUUUAAAUAUAUAUUUGUUUUUUUAUAUUCAGAUGUAAAACGCAUAUAUAUAUAUAUAUUCAACAUGUGAAUAAUGUAUUUAAAACAGUAUAUUCUAUGUGUUACAGUAUAAAAAUUGCACCCUACUCUCUUGGCUUUCCAAGUAAACAGAUUACACACUACAUAUACUUUAUAUUUUUGGUGAAUGAAGCAUAAAAAAUCACAACAUGACUAAAUACAUUCCUUUCACAUGACUGUUGCAUGGUGAAACCAUUUUUUUUUUUUACCAGUAACCCAAUAACUUCCUCUUUUGUCUGCUGCUACUUGUAGACUGCAUUAGACCGCAUGUGCAAAUUUAGACUAUAGUCUAAACUGACUUACAUUAUUAGCUUUGCAAGUUACCACUUCAGUUAAACUAAACCAGAUUACAGACACAAAAUGGUAUACGGCUUUCCAGCGAUGAAUCAGGAGCGUGCACACAAACAUUUUUUAAGGGGAAAUGACCAUUAACAGUGUUAAAUGACUGAAAAAAAGUCGUCUUCCUUUUUAUUAGGCCAGGGUAUCCGAGUGUGACAGCGGUGACAAUGUGCAAAAUGAUGACACGCAUACAGUUUACUGGAAACUGGGGCAGACACAUGAACAGCAUUUGGCUGCAGUUUUUUUUUUUUCCAAGAAGAGUUAGAGUUCUCAGCAAAGCCCCCUGUACCUGAAGAUAACAAAACUUGCUAAAGCAGAGCCACAAGCUUAUUUAGCAGUGCAGGUGGUUGCUCUCUCAAACCUGCUUUCCUGUCACAAUGAGGAGCUAUCUCCACAUCGUCACCUUCAUCAUCCUGAAUUUCAUAGCUGACUGCGGCGCUCGGGUCCAUGUGGUGUACCAGUCAAUAGGAGAAACUGCUCAUCUCACAUUGAAAGAACACUGGAAUAUAACAGCAGUCAAAUGGAGGAAGAAUCAUAAUCUGAUUGCAACUGUAGAAAAAAAAAAGCCAGUUAUUAAGCAUCCAGAAAAAUUUCAUAUACAUGCUUCUGAUAGCUCUUUGUUUAUCCAUAAUUUGACGGUGAGUGACUCUGGAUAUUAUAAAGCUCAAACUGGACAAUGGGAAGAAGACUUAAUCAUAUACAGUCUGAUAGUACAAGAGGCUGUCUCAAAACCAGUAAUCAAUCUUCAGUCAAACUCCUCCUCUGUUUGCCACAUCUUGGUUAAAUGUUCUGCUGAUGGCGACACAGUGAUGUACAUCUGUGACCCCCAUCAAUGCACUCUGACAAAUGCCACAUCCACCAUGGUGAACAUGACUGUUAGCUACACAGACACCGGGGUGUUCGAAUGCACAGCCAGCAACCGUGUAAGCACAAAAAAGACGUCAGUACACAUGAUGAACUCAUGUCCUGAAAAAUUAGCACCCACAACAACAGCGACAAUCAUUUGUAUAAUAAGCAUAGCACUGUUUGCUGUCCUGAUGAUCUGGAUUAUCUUUUUUACAAUACCAGGAAGAAAAAGAAAGAAACAGGUCAGGACACCCCAAAAUGUCAGUGGUAUCAGACCACAAAAUAAAUGACACGCACACUUUGCUUGAAGCUAGAGCAGAAGAAGAGCAUGAAGAAGAACCAUGAAGGACAUGAGAUCCAUGAUUGUAGUGUAAUAUAGUAUAAUAAUAGUAUUAUCAUAAUAUACUAGCAUUAUUACUGUGUGUUUGUUUUGGUGCUUCAAAUCAGUGUCUCUGUAGCAGAAGUGAUGCUGAUCUUCCUUUCAGUUUGGUUCAGUGAAGCUCUCUCUCUGCUGGUGAGAGACUGAACUACAGCUGAACUCCACUCAGUCUCUCAGACCUAUUUUUGUACCUAAUAAAACCUAAAUGUAUUAACAAUCUGAAGGUCACUUCCAAAACACAUAACAGACUGCAGGUCAUAUUGUAUAUGAGUAUUCACCUUCUGAUGUUGUAACACAAAUAAAAAGUCUUUUCUCUUUUGA